rnacentral:rRNA from 1 species
GUGGGGAAUUUUGGACAAUGGGCGCAAGCCUGAUCCAGCCAUGCCGCGUGCAGGAUGAAGGCCUUCGGGUUGUAAACUGCUUUUGUACGGAACGAAAAAGCUCUCUCUAAUACAGGGGGUGAAUGACGGUACCGUAAGAAUAAGCACCGGCUAACUACGUGCCAGCAGCCGCGGUAAUACGUAGGGUGCAAGCGUUAAUCGGAAUUACUGGGCGUAAAGCGUGCGCAGGCGGUUUUGUAAGACAGGCGUGAAAUCCCCGGGCUCAACCUGGGAAUUGCGCUUGUGACUGCAAGGCUGGAGUGCGGCAGAGGGGGAUGGAAUUCCGCGUGUAGCAGUGAAAUGCGUAGAUAUGCGGAGGAACACCGAUGGCGAAGGCAAUCCCCUGGGCCUGCACUGACGCUCAUGCACGAAAGCGUGGGGAGCAAACAGGAUUAGAUACCCCUGUAGUCC